AACAUGAGUCUAAUAUAAAAACUGUUUUAGAACAGGAUUUUAGGGUUUAUAAAAUGGAUAGAGAUUUUAAAAAAUAAUUGUCUGCAAAUACAUUUUUUUUUUACUUGUAAUGAGACAGAAAUAUAGGUUCUCAGCCGUUAUAUUAUUUCUGAUAUAGCAGAGAAGUGAAAUUUGUGUAUAAUGCUAUAUAUAUCUUUUCUAAGAUGCAAAGGAGUAUAAUUUUAUUUUUGUUGUAUGUGAAGGCUCUGUCUAGGCACAUUGGCCACCAAUUUCAUUUUUUUUGCAGAGCAUGGAUUGUAAAGUCACAUAUCCUUAAGUUAAUGUAAAGGGCAUAAGAAAGAAAAGAGAGAGCAUAAUUUUUGUUGUUGCUGUUGUCAUUUGAAAUUUCCAUAGUGUCUGUGCACAUUGGGCACCAUUUCAUUUUUAUUGUGCUGCACUGAUAGCAAUGUCACAUAUCAUUAAGUUAACACCGAGUAAGUAAAAAAGAAAAACAGAAUUUUUUGCUGCUAUUACUGUUCUUUGAAAUUUUUCUACUCUGUACAUAUUUUUGUAGGAAGGAAGAAGUACCAGCAAUUUUAAUAUAUAGCUAAAAAGAAGCUCUAUUGUUUUUUGGGGUUUGUUUUUUUUUUUUUGCACUGCUCUGUGAUGCAGUGGUUAGAAACAUAAUGCUAUUAAUAUAUCCUAUCCCUGCGAUGAAGAUUUUGUGAUGUGCUAUUCUUCCAUUUUUUGAAAAAUAUCCCACUCCCGUAUUUCUUAACCCCAGCACAAUUUAUUAAAAUGCUACCUUAUCUGCCUUAAUACAGUUCCUGUGUCCACCGUUCAAUGAGUCCUUUAUGUCCUGAAGGGGAGGCAUAACCAAGGCUUUGGGGAACAGUGGGUUCAUAAGUCAUAGAAAUCAUAGAGAAAUAGUGCUGAAAGGGACUUCCAGAGGUCAUUCAGUCCAACCCCCUGCCUGAGGCAGGAUCAUCCCUAUCCAAACCAUCUCAUACAAGCUAUAAUCUAAAGUUUUUGUAAAACUGUCAUCAACCCUGACAAAACACAAGACAUAAUGCCCUAACCUACCACAGGUUAAGGAGUUAAUGUCCUGCUUCUAAAAAAGGUUGUUAACAUAUGCUCAAGAGAUCCCAGGUAGAGAGCCAUGCCCCCCACUACAGAGGAAGGCUAAAACCCUCACAGUCCAUGCUAAUCUGACCAUGGGGUAAAUUUCCUUCCUGACCCCAAAUAUAACAAUCAGUCUGACCCUGAGUAGAAGGGCAAGACCUUCUAGUUGGGAAUCUGCAGCCUUGGUGCUGGCAGGAUUAUAUAGAUUAGUUUUAAACUCUGAUACACAGACACAACUGCUAUUAAGGUGUAGUAUGGUGAAUACAUUGCAUUUUAUUGUCUUUAUUUCUGAGGGAAGAAUUGUACUGUUUAUCUAUUCUAAUCUUGAUCAUUUGGGACUAAGAUUUAGGCUCUACAUUGGGACUCUACAACUGAAAUCCUUGAUGUUGGUCAUAUAACCUACUGUCCAUUUUAGAGGAGUUAUCUCUAGAAAGGCAGAAGAUCAGCAGGCCAACUCCUAUAAAUCAAACUUCAUGCUUAUUUCUGCAAUCAAUAGUUACAGAUUCUAGGCUAGAUUCUCUGGUGCAUUCCUGUCCUUUUCUGUUGCUCUUCUAGUAUAAAUGUGUAAGUGGCCUGUGAAGCAGUUUGAUGGUCACAGCUGGUGCAGAGCUGGCAUUCUUAGCUUCUUUGGCAUCCUCCUCCUUCUGACUCAGGCGCAGAAUACAGAUCUGGGCCAAGUGUGUUGGAAGACAUGUUUGGAGCAUAUUAUGCCCCAGACCACUGCUAGUUGAAAUAGGUUAGAGAGAUGAGUGAGGCCCUAUGUGGAAUGAGUGAGGAUCUGGUCUGAGAAUCAGGGAGCCAUAUAACAUCCACCCUCUGGUCCACCAAGAAGAGCUUUGGUGCUGCAGAUAAUCUAGACCACUAUAUAUUAGUGGAGUCUUAAUGAAACAGACAUGCCCAUGAUACAGUGGCUUAGGGCCUAACUUUCGUGUAUAGUAGAGGUCAUUUCGCCAUGUCAGAAAUGGUGAACACAACAGGCUACAUCACAAUACAGGCUACAAAAUAGGCUACAUCACAAUAAGGAACUCGAAUACCCAGAUAAGUUCAGACUAGCUACCAUGCAUGUUUUUAUAUAUUUUCCUUUGUUGGAAAGCCUCCUCUUCUCCCCCCCACUACUAUGGUUACUUAUAUACAACACCCAAGCUGAACCUCCAGAACAUCCACAGUGAAAGAGGAAUCAUAAAAGACAUUCAUGGGGCCAACCAUUACAUCGGAAAAGAAUACACCAGUUUCUCUACUGCUGGUGUUCUUUGGAUUGUGUCUAGGAAAUGGACAUUUCACUAUGAGCAGCCCAGCCAAAGUGUUGGUUGCUAACUUGAGAAAGGCCAGUAAUAUUAUGUAACAUUGCUAAUUCUGAUGCUGGUCUCCUGUUUCUCUGGACAAGACUUGAACCAGAGAUAACAGCAGUGAAAGAUUUUAUAGUGGGUGUUGGAAAGGAUAGGAUACUGCAGCAGUUUCUGAAGAAAUGCUGUAACGGGAGUAUACUGCUGAGUUCUCCAUCUGAAAAGGAAACCCAGAAUCCCCAUUCUUAGGAACCAGCAAGAAAAAAAAAAGAAGCAUGAGAGGAGUUUGCCAUAUAUCUGAUUUGUAUGAACCUUGUUGUAGCUUAUUUUUAAAAUUCUCUAUAUGUUUUUAGGUUUAUAUACAGUAGAAUCUGGAUCAUACGUAUCACUGCUUAGUUCACAGUGGGUUGCUGAAUAAAGGACACUGUUCAGAUGUUUGCCGUGGCUUUUACUUCAAAGGACAACACUUCUCCAAUCAACUAGAGCUCAUCAGCAAUCCCAAAGAGCUGUUUGUUGCUGUCCUAUAUCCUCCCGGCUGGUUCACAAUUCCUCCUCUUCACAGGAGAUUCAGCCAAGAGAUAGACCAGGAAGGUAAAGUACAAAGCCCACUGGAUACUGUCCCUUUCUCACCAAAUGGGCUUUCCAGCCAGUGAUGGAGAAGGAUUGCUUCUAACACAAGAAUCAGGAAAGGGCAAGACUGAUUGCAAGGGUAAUUUGGUGACAACAAACAACAAGAAAUGAAGAUUGCAUAACUAUGUGGAGCAGGGUCAUCAGGAGGCAGAAGAAAAUCACAGAAACAUCUAGAUAGAGAUGGAUGAGGCCCUCAGAACUGUAGCUGAGACAAAGGAAAAUGCUGUAUAGCUGAGACAGCUCAUUAGCAGUCCAAGCUCUGAUGGAAUCAGCACUUGGGGUAACUCCAAAACCACCUACCUACUCAACUGGCUGGGAAGACAGUUAGAAGGCAGAUUCUAAUGGCAGGAUUAAUAUUUCCCAUAGCUUGGCUCCUAUGAUUUAUGUUCCUGGCUAUUAAAAGUAGAAGAAAGGAGGGUUUCAGAGCUGUGUUUGUAUUCCCCAACAGAGAUGUUUGUAAUUUCUAUUUUGCUUGGGAUUUUUUUCAUCUUAAUCCAUUAUCAGACAGACAAAAACAAAGACUUAGCGAUUCCUAUCUUGACCAGUGGCAUAAAUAUUAGACAUGCACACGUUUUUGAAAAUGCACUCUAAGUAUUUGGCUUCAUUGCAAUUUUAGCACUGUGUUUUAUUUUUUCUAAGACUGGAAAAGGUGCAUCACUGAUUCCACUAUUCAUAAUCUUUUCAACAGGAAAACUGGAGAGUUGAGAAGCAAAUAACUGCUUAUCUGCCUCGCACUGUCUCCUCAGGACCCAUCCACAGAUAAAUGAAGAUAAGCUGUGUGAAUGCACCUUUCUUCAGCAAUAAAUUGCACUCAUACAUUAAAUGAAUAAGUGGAUCCUUCUUUGCUAUCA